rnacentral:rRNA from 1 species
AUUGAACGCUGGCGGCAGGCCUAACACAUGCAAGUCGAGCGGAUGAAGGGAGCUUGCUCCUGGAUUCAGCGGCGGACGGGUGAGUAAUGCCUAGGAAUCUGACCGGUCGUUGGGGAUAACGUCCGGAAACGGGCGCUAAUACCGCAUACGUCCAGAUGGAGAAAGGGGGGGAUCUUCGGACCUCACGCUUUCAGAUGAGCCUAGGUCGUAUUAGCUAGUUGGUUGGGUAAAGGCCUACCAAGGCGACGAUCCGUAGCUGGUCUGAGAGGAUGAUCAGCCACACUGGAACUGAGACACGGUCCAGACUCCUACGGGAGGCAGCAGUGGGGAAUAUUGGACAAUGGGCGAAAGCCUGAUCCAGCCAUGCCGCGUGUGUGAAGAAGGUCUUCGGAUUGUAAAGCACUUUAAGUUGGGAGGAAGGGAAGUAAGUUAAUACCUUGCUGUUUUGACGUUACCAACAGAAUAAGCACCGGCUAACUUCGUG